rnacentral:misc_RNA from 1 species
CAUGCGUAGUAUGGCUUCAGCCAUGAUAAAUAUCAUGAAUAAAUGUAAAAUUUUAUAUUAGAUAAUUUCUUGGAAUCUUUACGUGUUUUACGAUGGCAAUUUAUGCACGGAGUACUCAUGGAUCUAAAUUAACAGAUGCAAGUGUACCCAGUUCGAUUGUUUCUGCCUUCAGGAGCACUAGGACCAAAUCCAUCCAUACCAUCUUCAGUUCUAUAUCUUCAAAGUAUUUUACACAUGAUUUUCAGUGAAAGAUGUAGAAAAACAACUGGGAAAGAAAAUAACCAUAUUCAUUGACCGAGUGCAAUGAAUUUUAUAUAGUCUUUGUUGUUAAUGUUUGAUGCUUCUGAAUAUUCUACUCAUCAUGCUGCUUACACCAAACUGUUUUACAGCAAAUAAUGUAAUGUGAGUUAUAGUAUAUUAGUGAAGACCUAACAGUUAAACUGUGAAUGACUGAAUGGAAGAAAAAGUGGGAUUGAAACAUGGGUCUCAUAUGGACUUUCAGUUGGUGUGUGUAAUGGGAAAAGAAGGCAGCUGGGUGAAUGAAUCAGGUGACCCAAAACCAGACACUCUGAUCCAGGGGUUAUCGGGUCAAACAUGAACUAUGACGGCAGUCAGCAGUAUGGUUUCAACCUUGGAUUAGCUGCUGCUGCGGCGGCGGCUGCUGCAGCAGCUAGCCAGCAACAACCAGUACAACAGAAUGUGGCAGGUAACAUUUAUCCCUACUUUCCGGGAGCAGGGGACUUACAGCAACAGCAGCAAUUGUCUGCCAAAGUUGCUGCCCUGGGGCAACCAACAGCUGUGGCAGCUUUGGCAAGAAAGAACAUCUUGUACAGUCCACAACAGCACCAUCUGCAACAGCAGCAACAACACCUCCAGCAUCAGCAACCACUUCAGCAACAGCAGCAUGGAACAGCCUUUGGCUUGGUGCAAGGGCAGGCAAUGGUUGGGAGGCAGAAUGUGUUUCCCAUGGCUACAGGGCUGUCCAUUCCCCAGGAGCCUCUCUGUUCACCUCAGAAUAUGCUGGAGGCAUAUGGCAGUCUCAGUCCCAAUAUGAUGGGGCAGAAAGUGGCAUCUACUGGUGCUGUCGCAGCCUCUGGCUAUAGGAACUUUGGCUGGAUGAACAUCCCUCAGGCCAACAACAACAUUGCCACCGUCAGCAACAAUAACAAUGCAGGCACUACAACCCCCGUCAACAACCAGCCAUCACUUCCCAGCAUUGGGCAUCUGUUGUCGCAUCUGCAGCAGCAGCAGAAGCAGCAAACAACCAUGACAGCUUUGUUCCACCCUUCUCCCCAGCAGUCACAGCCACAGCAACACCAGCAAAAUAUUGCCAACUUCCAGAGUAUACAUGUUUUCCAGGGGGCGCCCACUGCAAACUUGCAAAUGUCUCCUGGUGGGCUUCAGGUGUCACCAGGAAGCAUACAGGUAUCCCCCAAUGGGCAAGCAUUUCAGGUGCCACAGUCCCUACAAAAUACUUUGUCUCCAAACACUAUGGCUGCUGCUGGCGUUGGCUUUUCUGCCCUUCGCCAGGUGCAAGUCUCAGCUGCCAUUGGAGGCAUGGUGGGUGGUGGCAUCCGUAAUCAGGUGGUCAUGGCACCUCGAGGACAGGUGAUCAUGGCCCAGACAUUUCCUACAGGAAACUCGGGUAGCAAUGAGAUGAAGAACUUUCAGUCUGUUGCCAAGUUGGCGACUGUAGGGCCAGGAGGUGGGUUAGGAGUCAGAGCUGUGAUGGGCGGCCAGGUCAACGUUGUGAGUGCACCCCCUAUCUCUGCAACUCUCCCUUCUGCAGCCUUAGUUACCUCGUCUACAGCUGUCAGCCAUUCUGACCAGCCAGUGUCAUUUGUGUCACAGGCCAGCUGCAACCACAUUGCAUUAACCACCACCACAGUGACUGUCACCACAUCUGCCUGCAGUCUUGCUGCCACCACAGCCACUACCGUGCACACCUCCAUUCCUUUAGCCACCAGUAUCACCUCGCUGCCCAACAUCUCUCCCACCUCUUGUCAGCACACCUCACCCCAUCCUUCCCACCCUGCUCACAACAGCCAUGUACAAGAGGUAGAAACAAAGAGAGAUGGAGUUUCUGGGUUGUUGGCAACCUCUUCUAUGCCUCUAGUAGCAUCUUCGGCUGGCACCCCUGCAAAUGGAUCUGAUGAGGCUGGGAAUGGUGAAGUUCAAGUGAUUAAAGUUCCUUACAGCUGGCGACGGGAGCUUGUCAAUGGAGCUGUUGUAUACUUCAGCCCAAGCAAUGUGUGUCUGUCUUCAUUGGAGCAAAUUCAGGCCUACCUUUCUAAGUCAGGAACAUGCAAGUGUGGACUAGAAUGCCCACUGCAAGUUGGGCGAACUUUCAACUUUGAUCCAGCUGUUGAAGGCAAGCCAUGGAGCAUGGAGGAUGUCACAUGCUCUCAAGAUCUUACCAAACUGUGUAAUCACAAGCGGAAAGUUCUGGCAUUAGCUGCAUUUCAAAACUCCACUGUUGGUCAAGAGACCCAAGGCAAAGCUGAUGGCCCAGCUACAAAAUUUAGGAAGAGAGACAAGGGCAAACUGGGAGACAAUCUGCUGGUUUCACCUCUGGUGGCAGACUCCAAGUUGAAGACAUCCAUCACAAAUGCAGUUAACAAGCAUGCUGCAGCCACUGCCCUGUCUCUUAGCAGCAGCCAUAACAGCCUAAACAGCAGCACCAGCAGCAUUAUUUCCUCAGCCCAGUCUUCAUCAGCAGAGGAAAUAGGAGUAGCUGGGAGCAUUAGCCAAGCAACAAGCACUGACCUUGGGAUUUCAGUUCCCACUCCCCAGCACAUGGUUCCUCCAUCUGCAAACUGUGGGGUGGAUCGAAGUGGCAGCAUUCACUGUCCAGCCCAGUCUCCAAUGUCACAUUCUCCAGCCAGUAUGCACAGCACACCAGGUAUGCCAGUUGGGGGAGGUGGUGACCACAUGGAAGGCCUGGGCCCCAUCACAAGCCACUUUCCUGGUAAACUGGACUUUGGCAGGAACCAUUCCUGCAGCUCUGUUGCCAUAGGUAUUGGAGGUAGGGGAAUGACUCCCAACCAUGUGGAUCCCAGACAGUUUCCCCAAAGUGCUUUGCAGUGCAAUGUGUUCUCUCCUGAUGAGUUUAAGCAGUCCUAUUUCAUGCAGCAGCCACAGGUACAUCCUCACCCUCAGGGUCAAGUUAACAUGAGUGGUAUGCCUUUCAUGGCCCCGAUGCCACCGCACACUGGAGUGGCACCUGCAGGGACCCAGACAUUCCGAGGAACCCACCCCAUCAGUAUACAGAUGCAGUAUCCUGUGGGUUUCCCUCAUGGUCAGCAGCAGGUUCAUUCUCAACACCAUUACCCUAACACCAUGGUCUGUCAUGGGCUGCAGCAACAACAGCAGCAGCAUAUGCAUCCCACACACCAGCACUCGCAGCAACAGCCACCACCACUACCCCAUCACCAUGCACAUCAAGGGCAGUCACUCCUGAGACACCACCAGCCCCUGCAGCCACCGCAUACCAUGUUUCAGAAUCUCCGUAUGGGUUCUCCAGGGGUGUGGCCACCACAGCACCUACCACCUCACCAUGGAGGACCCACUCCUCCUUCAGGGUACCUUUCUGAUCCCCAUCACCAACAAGGAGGAGGGGUGUUUCCAGGUGGUUACCCACAUAUGGGAGACCUGCUGUGGCUGGAGCCAGGCAAACCAAAAAGCAAACGCCCCCGAAGCAAGAAGGACAAACAGAAGCUCAACAGUAUUGUGGAUAGAACCUCACCAUGUGGUGUGCUGGGCCGACACAGGCCUGGAGGAGCAGGGACUGCCAUGCCCAUGACAGACCUGCCUAAGUGUUCGACGCCGUCCACUCCUGCCAUAACCACCAGUACCCCAAAUGUGUUCCCAUCUGCUGCUGCCACAACUACAUUACCAUGUUCCGUCUCAUUUCUUGAAAACCCUGCUGUGUUCGUGGCCCAGCAGACUGCAAUUAUAAACAGCUCAUUGGCCAGCUGUCAGGUAGACCUUGGUUCCCCACCACAUCUCACCAACCCUACUUUCACCUCCAACCCAGUGAGAGCUAAUGCAUGCUCAGCUACUAACACCACUUUGCCUAUAAUAAAAGUGGAACCGGACUGUGAUGAAAGGCUUUCAGAAAGUUUCCCUGCCUCAGGCAGAGGGAUGACUGAAUGUGAGUGCAAACAGGAGCCUACAACUGAUGAUGUUUUGUGCUUAAGAGAUCAAGAUAAGAAGUUGUGUGGCAACUCAUCUGUUAUGAGCACUGUUCACCUCAACAAGAGUCAUGUUGUGUCAAAACUUGAGCCCAGUGCAGUUUUACCCUCACAGUCAGGAAGUUCAUCAUCUAAAGUUAGUGAUACCUGUGGUACCGGUGGUAAUGGCUUGUCACAGGGGUCACAGGGCAAGAAAAAACCCUCCCCUAAGGCCAAGAAUCGUCAGAAGAUGCUGCCUGUAGCCAGCAAGUUGACUGUUGCCAACACGUGUUUGCCGGAGUGUGCUUCCCCAGUCACCUUACCCCAACACAGCAUUGUUUCUCCCCAGCUGCCAGUCCACCACCAGCAGCACACCAGUGAUGCUAAUGCCAUGAAUGCUGUGACAGGUUCUGUCCCUUUUCAAGUUCCUGACCUCUCUCAGCUCCUUCUCGGCAGUUGUGGGAACACCAGCAAUAACUGGAACUUGAUGGCCUUGCAGUUAGCACAAUACAACAACAGUAAUGGUAACAACGGCAGUCUCGGAGGGAAUGGGGAUUUGAACUCCAGUGCAAGCACUAAUGCACCGACAGAUUUUCCUGCCAGCAGUCUCCUGACGGCGGCAGCCAGGGCGCAGCUUUCUCAGCAAACUCCUCUGAACUCUUUCUUGUUGCCUGCCAUUCUGUCUGCCAAUGGACUAGCUACUCAAGAUCUUCCCCUCCUUGCAGCUGCAGCUUUGCAACAGCAACAACAACAGCAGUUGCAGCAGCAUGAUGCCACUGCAUCAGUAACCUUGAAUGGUGGUGGCAGUGCAGAUCUCACUGCUAAAACAUCACCUGCAAUGGCAGGGACCAGCAUGGUUGGGGUUAGUCCUGUGGGGGUUGCAACCUUGAACCAGGCCUGCUCAUUACCCAUGCAGCUGCUGCAAGGUACAAACAUGGUGACAGCUGGUGUGAUGCCUACCACUGCUUUCCAAGGUGGAACUUUGCUGGCCCAAGGAGUGCAGAGCAUGCAGGGCUUGCAGGGCCUGCCCCUCAAUGUCUUUUUGCCAAUGAAUCAGACAGGCGUUGGAGCUGAUGGCUUGCAAGGCAUCUCCAUUGACAUGGCAGGUAAUAUCCUGGCCUCUGUUUCCAUGGGCAACACAGUCUGCAAGACUUUGAACAUUUCACCCAAGAUGGUCACCACAUUAGUUGACACUGCAUCGGCCAUCUCACCAGGUUCGCUUCCAGGUUCCCUGUCACCAGCAGUACCCACCUCUGCAGGUUUCUCAUCACAAGGAUGUGGCAGCAUGAAGGGAAUGGGGUCUACCAUUCACCACCUCCCACAGAACAACAUACCUCAUGCUGUUGCACAGAAUAUUGGUUCAGGCAUUCAGACCCAGAAUCUUAGUCAGAGCAUACAAGGGAGUCAAAACACAUCUCAGAGCAUGCAGGGUCAGGCAUUUAAUCAGACUAUAGGUCAAGGUGUGCCGCAGGCGCUGGGAGUGAAUGUCAGCAUGGGUCUGGGAGGUGGGGAAGCUGUUGUGCUGAACAGUCUGCUACCUUCCUUCCUAACGCUCAAUACCUCCAUGCCACCCAUCUCACUCCCCAUGGUCACCAGCGUCACCAACAGCCUAGCGCAGGUCAUUCCUGCUGUUGGCACUGCCCCAGCUCUGCUCACCACGCAGCAGCAGCACCAACCCCAGCAUCAGCAGCCCCAGCAGCAGCAGGCAUCCGCAGCACAGUUUCUCAAUGCUCUGGCUAUUCCUGCCGUGGCUGCGGCAGCGUUUGCCAACCCGCUGCUCAUAACGAAUCCUUUGGUAGCUCAGGCCACAGCUAACCCUCCUGUGCCCCAGUAUCCUACAAAAGUCAUCACAGAUGAGCGAGACUGCGAUGAGUCUGUGCAAAGCAUGCAGGCCAUGGGCAGCCAGAUAGAGGAAAAGGCCCUAGAAAGUUCUUCACACAAGCUAGAAGAUGGUGGGGGAUGCUCAGGGAAAACCUUGGAUAUGCCCCAACACCAUAGCUUGAGCCAGCAGGCUCUCACGGUGCAGACAAGCGAUGCUUUUCAGCAGCAGCAGCAACAGCAGCAGGUCUUUGUUCUACCUGGUGGUGGCUUACCUCUGAUGCACGUACUCAGUGCUGGCACACAUCAGCUUGGUGCAGCAGCAGGCGUUGUUGAUAAACUGUGUAACACCACCCAGCUUUUUCUUCCAGCAGCUCCGUCUGCUGCAACACUUUCACCAGAUCUGACGCAGUUAGGGGCUGUGGCAGCCUUGACUCCACUGGGCAUUCAGCAGAUGUGGAACAGCCUCAACAGUCUACAGUUGCAGCAAUUGCAGACGCUGCAACUUCAGCAGCUAGUGUGGCAACAGCUGCAGGGCAUGCAGGCCCUUCCCCCACACAUCACCACAUUGGAUGCAUCUGCCACCCAUCCACUGCAGACACAUUUCUUUACAAACCUACAGCAGCAACAAGUGCAGAUAUCCACGUCACAGCAGCAGCCCCAACAGUCCCAGGAUGUAUUGAUUGCCCAAGAAGAAGAGGUAGAGGAAGAGGAAGAGGAAAUGGAAGCAGGUGGAUUAAUAUCCAUGGAUGGAGCAGGAAGUGACUGUGGUGCUCAGACAGAGAUUGCAUCAUCUUGCAUCUCUAUGGAGAAGGUGCAGGCUCGUGAAUGUGUGGAUGCUUCCCCGGCAUCACCAGUGCAGAGUCCAGAUGCCAGCAACAGUCCCAGUUCAAAAGCAGGACCAGUCCCAGCAAAGACGAGUGGACAGAGCCCAGAUAACAGCAAUGGCUUUAGGGAGACUAAAGCCAGUCAAGAAAUCUUGCCAUCAUCAGAUAUCUCUCCUUCAUUGCAGCAAGGAGGCAAAAGCACACACGGGGGUGCAGAGAGAAAUACUGUUGGUAAUGCCUUGCAAAAACCUGACAUCUUCUUAAAUUGCAUGGUCAAGUCUUCAUCUGGUCCAGCUUCUAGAAUGUCAACAGCUAGUAGCCCAAGGUCGCAGAGCAUAAAGUCACAUGUGGUGAGUUCUACAGCCCAAUCGACAAUGAUGGAUACCAGCUGUUUAAGUGGGAAGCAAAGUUGUGGUGAUCCUGUUUCACUGAAUGACAGAAAUGCUCGUGCCAGUAAAACAUUGUAUCCAGGAGACAAAACUGCAAGCAACUUUAAUCAUUCAAGUUAUCACCCUACUGUCAAUGGAAACUGCAGGGGCAAAAACCUUCAAAGCCAGAUGGAGGGGGGAGGCAAACGCAGGGGAGUAAAGAGAAGCCUGGAGGACCAGUGCUUGUCUGCAGGUGCAGCCAAAGAUGCAUAAAUCCGGAAAAUUUGUCAAGCAGGUCUGAAAACAAUUACACAUUUGGCAUUGUGAGUCUGAACAGUUUCAGAUAAAUCAUGUG